CCUCAGUAACGGCGAGUGAAGCGGCAACAGCUCAAAUUUGAAAUCUGGCCCUAGGGUCCGAGUUGUAAUUUGCAGAGGAUGCUUUCGGAGAGGUCCCCACCGAGUCCCCUGGAAUGGGGCGCCAUAGAGGGUGAGAGCCCCGUAUGGUGGGACGCCGAACCGGUGUAAAGCUCCUUCGACGAGUCGAGUAGUUUGGGAAUGCUGCUCUAAAUGGGAGGUAAAUUUCUUCUAAAGCUAAAUACCGGCCAGAGACCGAUAGCGCACAAGUAGAGUGAUCGAAAGAUGAAAAGCACUUUGAAAAGAGGGUUAAAAAGUACGUGAAAUUGUUGAAAGGGAAGCGCCUAUGACCAGACUCGGCUUCGGGGGAUCAUCCGCCG
rnacentral:rRNA from 1 species